rnacentral:rRNA from 1 species
GACGAACGCUGGCGGCGUGCUUAACACAUGCAAGUCGAACGGAAAGGCCCUGCUUUUGUGGGGUGCUCGAGUGGCGAACGGGUGAGUAACACGUGAGUAACCUGCCCGUGACUUUGGGAUAACUUCAGGAAACUGGGGCUAAUACCGGAUAGGAGCUCCUGCUGCAUGGUGGGGGUUGGAAAGUUUCGGCGGUUGGGGAUGGACUCGCGGCUUAUCAGCUUGUUGGUGGGGUAGUGGCUUACCAAGGCUUGGACGGGUAGCCGGCCUGGGAGGGUGACCGGCCACAUUGGGACUGAGCUGCGGCCCAGACUCCUACGGGAGGCAGCAGUGGGGAAUAUUGCACAAUGGGCGGAAGCCUGAUGCAGCAACGCCGCGUGCGGGAUGACGGCCUUCGGGUUGUAAACCGCUUUCGCCUGUGACGAAGCGUGAGUGACGGUAAUGGGUAAAGAAGCACCGGCUAACUACGUG